ACCCUUGUGGAGGAGGACGCCGAAGGUGGGGCUAAUGACUGGGGUGAAGUCGUAACAAGGUAGCCGUACCGGAAGGUGCGGCUGGAUCACCUCCUAACAGGGAGACAACAAAAUGUUUAAUAUUAUUAUUUUGUCACCUUAGGUCGAUCGGUAUCUCACAUUCUUAAUUUAUUAAGAAUUUCAUUUCCUAAGUUUUUCUAGGUCACACCCAUUAUUUUUCCUGGGCCAUUAGCUCAGGUGGUUAGAGCGCACCCCUGAUAAGGGUGAGGUCCCUGGUUCAAGUCCAGGAUGGCCCAUAUCUCUAUGUUGGGGGUAUAGCUCAGUUGGUAGAGCGCCUGCUUUGCAAGCAGGAUGUCAGCGGUUCGAGUCCGCUUACCUCCACUGAUUACCACCUCUUCCAUAAUUCUGUAGAAAGGAAAUUUUUUGAGUUGUGAUCAUAUUCUGAACGAAUCUAGCUUCCUAAUGAAAUCAUUAAGAUGCUGGACUCAUUGAAUUAAUUUCAUUGAUUUCAGAGAACCUUGACAACUGCAUAGAUUAUUUUUAAAGACAAUAAGCAUCUUUUAUGAUGCAGAUUUAUUAUUUGUGCGAAUGCAUUAAAUAACAAUUCUAUUAAGCUGAUGCUUCAAUUUUGAAGUUAUUGGUCAAGCUACAAAGGGCUCACGGAGGAUACCUAGGCACACAGAGGCG
rnacentral:misc_RNA from 1 species